AAAUUGAAGAGUUUGAUCAUGGCUCAGAUUGAACGCUGGCGGCAGGCCUAACACAUGCAAGUCGAACGGUAACAGGAAGCAGCUUGCUGCUUUGCUGACGAGUGGCGGACGGGUGAGUAAUGUCUGGGAAACUGCCUGAUGGAGGGGGAUAACUACUGGAAACGGUGGCUAAUACCGCAUAACGUCGCAAGACCAAAGAGGGGGACCUUCGGGCCUCUUGCCAUCAGAUGUGCCCAGAUGGGAUUAGCUUGUUGGUGAGGUAACGGCUCACCAAGGCGACGAUCCCUAGCUGGUCUGAGAGGAUGACCAGCCACACUGGAACUGAGACACGGUCCAGACUCCUACGGGAGGCAGCAGUGGGGAAUAUUGCACAAUGGGCGCAAGCCUGAUGCAGCCAUGCCGCGUGUAUGAAGAAGGCCUUCGGGUUGUAAAGUACUUUCAGCGGGGAGGAAGGUGUUGUGGUUAAUAACCGCAGCAAUUGACGUUACCCGCAGAAGAAGCACCGGCUAACUCCGUGCCAGCAGCCGCGGUAAUACGGAGGGUGCAAGCGUUAAUCGGAAUUACUGGGCGUAAAGCGCACGCAGGCGGUCUGUCAAGUCGGAUGUGAAAUCCCCGGGCUCAACCUGGGAACUGCAUUCGAAACUGGCAGGCUUGAGUCUUGUAGAGGGGGGUAGAAUUCCAGGUGUAGCGGUGAAAUGCGUAGAGAUCUGGAGGAAUACCGGUGGCGAAGGCGGCCCCCUGGACAAAGACUGACGCUCAGGUGCGAAAGCGUGGGGAGCAAACAGGAUUAGAUACCCUGGUAGUCCACGCCGUAAACGAUGUCUACUUGGAGGUUGUGCCCUUGAGGCGUGGCUUCCGGAGCUAACGCGUUAAGUAGACCGCCUGGGGAGUACGGCCGCAAGGUUAAAACUCAAAUGAAUUGACGGGGGCCCGCACAAGCGGUGGAGCAUGUGGUUUAAUUCGAUGCAACGCGAAGAACCUUACCUGGUCUUGACAUCCACGGAAGAAUUCAGAGAUGGAUUUGUGCCUUCGGGAACCGUGAGACAGGUGCUGCAUGGCUGUCGUCAGCUCGUGUUGUGAAAUGUUGGGUUAAGUCCCGCAACGAGCGCAACCCUUAUCCUUUGUUGCCAGCGAUUCGGUCGGGAACUCAAAGGAGACUGCCAGUGAUAAACUGGAGGAAGGUGGGGAUGACGUCAAGUCAUCAUGGCCCUUACGACCAGGGCUACACACGUGCUACAAUGGCGCAUACAAAGAGAAGCGACCUCGCGAGAGCAAGCGGACCUCAUAAAGUGCGUCGUAGUCCGGAUUGGAGUCUGCAACUCGACUCCAUGAAGUCGGAAUCGCUAGUAAUCGUGGAUCAGAAUGCCACGGUGAAUACGUUCCCGGGCCUUGUACACACCGCCCGUCACACCAUGGGAGUGGGUUGCAAAAGAAGUAGGUAGCUUAACCUUCGGGAGGGCGCUUACCACUUUGUGAUUCAUGACUGGGGUGAAGUCGUAACAAGGUAACCGUAGGGGAACCUGCGGUUGGAUCACCUCCUUACCUGAAAGAAGC
rnacentral:rRNA from 3 species